UGCCUACCUCGCCUCCUACCGGUGCGCCACCACGCCCGCCUCCUUCCGGCGCGCCGUCAUCCCCGCCUCCUGCCGGUGCGCCGCCGGACCCUCCUUCUUCCCUGGAGCGCCGCCACCCCGCUGCCUCCUACCGGCGCGCCGCCGGACCCUCCUUUUUCCCUGGAGCGCCGCCACCCCGCUGCCCCCGCCAUCUCCCACCAUGGGGUAACCCUAGAUGGCCGCCGGCCCGCCGCCGCCGACGUCGCCUCCUUCUCCCUUGGCCCUCAGCCACCCAACGGCCGCUGCAUCACGCCGAUUAGGUCCUACCCCAGGACAGCCACGGGUGUCGUCAUCUCCAGAAGCCUGUCCCCAAAUCGUUGCCACCUGCGCCUCUGAUUCAGCCAACGUCGGUCAUCUCCCUCUUCGUCCUCCACGGGUGUUGCUCUGCCUCGGUCUAUAAUUAACGUCCAUGCCCCAACGCCUUCUCGCCGUUCCUCCCCUGAGCGUGCCCCGUGGCUAACCCUAGGGACUGAGUCGGGCUUGCCGGCGCGGCCGCAUCGUGUGCUGUUGGCACCCCACUCCACCUGCUCUGCUGCGCCCCGGUCUCCAACAGCCAUUCUGAGGAACCCAUCUCGCCGCCACCAUCGCCUGCUAUCCUCCAGCAAGUGUGCUGCGGUACGCCGAUGUCCUCCGAUCGGCAAGCUCCGCCCCUGCUGGCAUCGUCCACCCACACCAUGUCCUCCUCUUUGCCAAGCAGCGUUAAGCGGUGAUUAUCAGAAGUCCAAGACCACACUGUAGGCAGGAAAAAGGUAUGUUCUUGGUAAGCUAUAGUAUUCCAUUCUUAAUUUACUCACUUCAAUGCAUAGUUUUGUUAGUUCUUCCAUUAGUUUCUAUUGAAGUAUGCUCAAUGGGAUAGGGUUUAGAAAGUUAUAUGCAUAAUGGGAGAUUACUUGAUUUGCUAAUCCUUAUCUGGUUAGCGAUUCCUCACAAACUCAAGCGAUAAUAUGCACAUGUUUCUUCGUGUCGUACUUUAAUCUAUGCGUGUUGAUUAAGAGAUUCUUGGUCUUCAGUUUUUAUGUACAACUCAAGUGACCAAAUUGUAUUAGAUUCUUUUCCCUCACAAACUGCAGUCUUGGUGCCUUCCUGUUGAAAAAAAAGAAAUGGGGGCAUGGGGCACAUUAUGCAGUCAGAACCUAGCUGUUACUAUACAACCAUGAACAUAAUUCUGGGAGGUAACACGUGGUCGUUCUUAGUAACAGUAUGUUGGAAUUGUAGGAUAUGGCUCUCAUUUUGUUUGGUGUUGGAAUAGUAGGUUGCUCGCGGGUGACUUCUCAGGUGUCACGGCGCUUGCAUUGUAGAUUGGUAGAGGGAAUAUUGAGACGACGAGGAGAGGCGACUUAACUGCAGUCCGCACAACACCAUGAACCAGUCACAGGGUAAAGAGGUCAAUCUCUUCCAAUACACAAUUGUUGAGGUUCUUGAAGUCCGCCCUCUCAUUGAUUGGAACAGGGUGAAAGUUGUGGAAUUUUUGCUGUGACCGCCUGGACUACGAUGACAGGGCUGACAAAGAUGAAGCCAAGGGAAGCCGUGCCUCUGAUAUUCUAACAUGUGAAAUCCAUAAGACAAUUCUUUCGAGUUGCGACCUACAUUGUGGUGUCUCCGUUCAUCAAUUUCUGAGCACCAGCUCCAGUGAAAUUAGGUGUUCAUCCAUCCAUACUCCUAGUAAUUACUGAAAACAAUUUGAGGACAAAGCUGUGAUUGUUGUUGUAGUUGAAGAUUCAGAGUUGAAAGGCAGGCACAGUUAACAGGGAUAAGAAACUAUAGAAGAUUUAUCAAAUCAGACAUGGGCUUGGUUAUGCAAUGAUUCAUUGGGAUCUGAGAAGGUUAUAGGGGUGGCCCAGAUAUCAUGGAGACUUGGAGAGGCGCCGUGCUCGGUCCAGUGAGGAGCUCCGGGUCAACACUGUGGCUGCGUGGUGGGCAUGAACCAUGGCGACUGCCUUCCGGCUUUAUUCUGUUGGCUCGUACAUUUUCCGCUGGCUAUUCUUACAGAAUCAUGAAUUAGACUUAGGAGAAUUGGCAUGUCAUCACAUGAAAAAUUUCAACUAUGAGAUGCUACAGGUUUUGUCAUCCUUGAACCGGUCUGCCCUCAAACGAACCCCUUAGAUGCAGCCAACACCUUGUAGCCCACACAUUACUCUCUUCAGGUCGCCGUUUUGGACCGUGUAGCGGUGUCGCCCGAGAGCCACACGACUCCCAUAUCGCCCCUCUGGGAGAGCCAUAUUAGGGUGGAUCUGGGCCCAUGCCCGACGAAGAGGGGGUGGCGGAGGGAAGGACUGCUGGUGGUGGCAGUCAUUUGGUGGCGACGACUGGUGAAGCGUGGAAAAGGUCGGGGAGGUGGACCAUUAGGGGAAUGUCAGUGACACCGCCGCUGCUUUCUCUCCUGCUCGAGACACCAUCUUUGUGAGCAAAGGAGACCGUGUUGCUAUCUCUGUUUUGUCACGGAAUGUAAGCAACAUCACAAAUUUUGCUAUUCAUCUCAUGUUGAA